UGCUUAACACAUGCAAGUCGAACGAUGAACCGCUUUCGGGCGGGGAUUAGUGGCGAACGGGUGAGUAACACGUGGGCAAUCUGCCCUGCACUCUGGGACAAGCCCUGGAAACGGGGUCUAAUACCGGAUAUGACUGUCCAUCGCAUGGUGGAUGGUGUAAAGCUCCGGCGGUGCAGGAUGAGCCCGCGGCCUAUCAGCUUGUUGGUGAGGUAGUGGCUCACCAAGGCGACGACGGGUAGCCGGCCUGAGAGGGCGACCGGCCACACUGGGACUGAGACACGGCCCAGACUCCUACGGGAGGCAGCAGUGGGGAAUAUUGCACAAUGGGCGAAAGCCUGAUGCAGCGACGCCGCGUGAGGGAUGACGGCCUUCGGGUUGUAAACCUCUUUCAGCAGGGAAGAAGCGAAAGUGACGGUACCUGCAGAAGAAGCGCCGGCUAACUACGUGCCAGCAGCCGCGGUAAUACGUAGGGCGCAAGCGUUGUCCGGAAUUAUUGGGCGUAAAGAGCUCGUAGGCGGCUUGUCACGUCGGUUGUGAAAGCCCGGGGCUUAACCCCGGGUCU
rnacentral:rRNA from 1 species